GUAUGUGUAUUGACACGAGACGUAAAUUACGACAAAAUUUAGGCAAACAAUUACAUCAGUCCAGAAAUGGGAAAUUGCAACCUGCAAAACAUCAUAUUCCAGCAUUUGCAAGUUUAACUGUAGUUUGAGUUUUCCUAUUAACUUAUCUUUGACCGGUUUUAGGAUCUCUGUGAUCGUGAAAAGCAAUUGAGAAAUC